GGGCCUGUAGCUCAGCUAGGAAUUAGAGCAGCGGACUCUUAAUCCGAAAGAUCGGGGGUUCGAAUCCCUCCAGGCUCA
rnacentral:tRNA from 1 species